AUGGCCGACGCGCCGCCGCCGCUGGGGCCGCCCGCGAGCUCCUCCGAUCCGCCCCCGCCGGCGGAGCCCGGCGAGCCGCUCUCCCGCGGCUACCUCUCGCUCCGCCAGGCCGGCCCCGCCAGCGAGGAGGAGGCGUCGCCAGCGCCCGCGGGACCGCCCGACGAACGGUGCAGGGCGAUGAUGGAGGUGGUGAGGAAGGACGGCGGGGUGGGCGGGGAUGAGGGCAAGUGGAAGGUGUCCAAGCUGGUGGUGGAGCACAACCACGUGCUGGAAGCGGCGGCUACGGGGGAGGCUGCCCCCUCCGCGGCCGCGGCCGCGCCGGAGCUAGGGAUGGAGUUCGACUCCGUCCAGGACGCCAAGGGCUUCUACUACGGCUACGGCGAGAGGGCCGGGUUCAAGGCGCGCACCGGCUCCAACCGCCGCUCGGCCGGCACGGGGGGCAUGAUCAUGCAGCGGUUCCUCUGCUGCAGAGGCAAUUACUCCUACAGGAAGGGUAACAAAGCCAAGGAUUCGGCAGCCCCGAAGGAGGUGGAGGAGGGUGCCGCGGGGGAAGGGGAAGGGGAAGGGAAGGUUGGGGCGCAUAAGAAGAGGGGCCGCAAGCCCGGGAAGAAGAGCACGCCGGUGAUCAAGGUGAAGAACUCGGUGGAGAAGGGUGUCGCAACAGCAGGCACAGGGAAUGGGCAAGCAGUACCUAGUACGGAGAAUUUGGGGAGAGGUGGGGAUAAGAAGGAUGCUGUGGAGAAGGAUGUCGAGUCUGUCGUCGAACUGGAGGAGGAACAUGUUGAGGUGGAGGAUGCUGCACAGGAUGGUGCCCAUGACCUCGGUGACGGCGACGAUGCUAAUUCUGAUGCUCAUGAGGGUGAAAUGGAAAAGGAGGUGGAGGUCAAGGAAAAGAGAGGGAGGGGGAGGCCGAGAAAGGCUGUUACAGAGGAUAAUGCCCUUCAGGCAUGUGUGUCGACGGACCUUGGUGUGAUGGCGUCGCAGUGCGCUGUUGAUGAGAGAAAGAAGAUACUUAAUAAGUAUCUCUCGAAGCGACAGAGCAGACCUGCCUCGGGCAGGCCUGCCAAGAUUGUCUCAUGCCAAGCUUUGGCGGAAAGGCGUAAGCGUGGUGAUGGAGGUAGAUUUCUGUCAAGCGACGGACCGCUGCCGUCAGAAAGGCGUUCAAAACGUCUUGAGAAGCAAAAUCUUAAAAAUGAAAAGAAGCCUGAGAGUAAAGAAGAUGAAAUAGUUGAAGCGGAACAGGAUCCAGAAACUGAAGUAGUAGCUGGGCCUGGAGGAGAACCAAAAGUUGGUAUGGUUUUCCUGAAUGAAGACAAGGCCUAUGAGUUUUAUGUCAGCUAUGCUGGAACUGCAGGAUUCAAUGUCCGAAAAGGAUGCUCUGAGAAAACAGCAAAUAAUGUUACGAGGUCUCGGUCUUAUGUAUGUUCUAAAGAGGGCUUCCAUCCUAAAAGUGUUACUGCUGAGCCAAAGAAACAACGAGCAGAAAUAAGAACUGGCUGCGAAGCACACAUGACUGUUAGAAUCACUACUAGCGGCAAAUAUGUUGUGACUGAGUAUGUGGCUGAUCAUAAUCAUGAUCUUGAAGCUCCCUUGGUGGACAUUCAGAUUCUUAGAUCACAGAAGUUAUUAGCAAAGUUACAGCAGCCUCCGGAUCCACCAAAAGUUGUUUUGAUACCAAAUGAUUAUAAAAAUUACGUAAGGACAAGACACACGAAGGAUAUGCAAUCAGGCGAUGCUCAGGCAAUUUCUGAAUAUUUACAGAGGAUGAAAGGCAAGAAUCCUUCAUUCUUUUGUUCCAUUCAAGUGGAUGAAGACGACCAAUUCAGAAAUGUAUUCUGGGCAGAUGUUAAAUCAGUGAUGGACUUUAACUACUUCGGUGAUGUAGUAUGUGUUGACACAAGGUAUAGCACAAGUGAUUAUUGUAGGCCUUUGUUGUUGUUCAUUGGAGUUAACCAUCAUAAGGAGCCAACCAUAUUUGGUACAGCAUUUAUUUAUGAUGAAUCAGUCGAAUCCUUCAAGUGGUUGUUUGAAACUUUCAAGUCUGCUAUGAGCGGUAAGCAGCCAAGAACAGUUUUGACUGAUCGCUCUACAGCAAUAAGCGAUGCAGUUGCUUCUGCUUGGCCAGGGACUGCCCAUCGCUUCUCACUGUUGCAUUUAUAUCAAAAUGCCACCAAGGUACUAAGCGAUACAUUCCAAGGUUCGGAAACUUUUGCCCAUGAUUUUAGUCGGUCUUUGUAUGACUAUGAGGAGGAGGGGGACUUCUUGUCUAGCUGGGAAAUCCUCUUGGCGAAGUACAAUCUGAAAGACAACGAGUGGCUAAGUAAAUUGUAUGAGGAUAGAGAAAGAUGGGCUUUGCCUUAUGGGCGUGAUAUAUUCUGUGCAGAUAUUGCAGCCACACUCCGAAGUGAUAACAUGGAUGCCAUCCUGACAGGUGUUCUUAAAACAGAAAUAGAUCUUCCAUACUUCUUCAACAGAUAUGAUAAAUUUUUGGAGGAGAAACGUCUAGCUGAACAACAAGCUGACUACCUUGGAGUUCAAAUGACACAGAGGGUACCACCUCUGCGGUUACUCUGGCAAGCUGCUAAUACAUAUACUCCUGCACUGUUUGAGAUGUUCAGGUUAGAAUUUGAACUGGUCUUGUCCUGCAUGGUUUAUUGCUGUGGUGAAAUUGGACCAAUAUCCGAGUAUGAGGUAACUGUCAAAAACAGACCUCAAGUCCAUUUUGUUAGAUUUGACUCAUCAGAAUAUAUGGUCGUUUGUAGCUGCAAGAAGUUUGAAUUCGUAGGCCUUCCAUGUUGCCAUGUACUGAAAGUUCUUGAGAUAAAAAAUAUCAAAGAACUUCCACCACAAUAUAUUUUGAAAAGAUGGCGAAAGGAUGCUCAGAGUGAAUCUCCAAAGGAGAACUUCGGUUUUGCUGCUGUGGAUGAAGAUCCCAAGUUCACGGUGUCUAAACGGCACAAUUCGCUGUAUCGAACUUUAUAUAAAGUGGCAGCAAAGGCUGCAGAAAACAUUGAAGGUCAGAGAUUUAUGGAGAGCCAAUAUGAUCAGCUCCUGGAGCAAGUUGAGCUUCUUUUGCAAGCAAAGUUGCAUGACAAGCCUUCCUUAAGCACUAUCAUGAGAAGUCAACAGCCAAAUUUGCCUCAGAAUGAUACCAGCAACAGUGAACCUCGCAGAGCAAGUAGUAAGAAAAAUAAAAAUGUAGAGAAUCGUCGCCAGCAGCAAAGUCCUCUUGAAUCAAGUAAAAAGAAAAAAGGUAGACAAGGUCUAGUGGAGCCUGAGGAGGCUGAACUCCCACUUAGGGUUCUUGCUCCCACAAUAUCGAAUGACAUCCCGAAUCACAUGAGUACUCCAACCAACCAGUUCCUUGCCCCAAAUCAUAUAAUGCAGGCACCAUAUGUUACACAGCAGUUUGGUCUUAAUUCUCUUCAAGGAUUUUCUGGGAUGACGCCAUUUGGGCAGAUGCAGGAACAAUCACCUGUUCAUCUUCAGCAACCUCAUCUACAACAAUCACCCUUUCAUGGCGGUCCUCAAAUGCACCAGGCUCCCCCUCCAGAUAUCCAGUCAUUGCAAUUUCUUAGCAGUAAUCCUCAGCUGGGCCACCAGACCACGGAUCAAGGCCAGUACACCAUCCCAGUAUGGGAUUUCCUGUGA
rnacentral:rRNA from 1 species